rnacentral:rRNA from 1 species
UACGGGGGGGGCAAGCGUUGUUCGGAAUUACUGGGCGUAAAGGGCUCGUAGGUGGCCAACUAAGUCAGACGUGAAAUCCCUCAGCUUAACUGGGGAACUGCGUCUGAUACUGGAUGGCUUGAGAUUGGGAGAGGGAUGCGGAAUUCCAGGUGUAGCGGUGAAAUGCGUAGAUAUCUGGAGGAACACCGGUGGCGAAGGCGGCAUCCUGGACCGGUAUUGACACUGAGGCGCGAAAGCCAGGGGAGCAAACGGG